rnacentral:rRNA from 1 species
GACGAACGCUGGCGGCGUGCCUAACACAUGCAAGUCGUGCGAGAAAGUUCCUUCGGGAGCGAGUAAAGCGGCGCACGGGUGAGUAACACGUAGGUAACCUGCCCCCCAGUCUGGAACAACUAGAGGAAACUCUAGCUAAUGCCGGAUGAGACCACGAUCCCUUCGGGGGUUGCGGCCAAAAGAUGGCCUCUACUUGUAAGCUAUCGCUGAGGGAUGGGCCUGCGGGCCAUUAGCUUGUUGGUGAGGUAACGGCUCACCAAGGCUGUGAUGGCUAGCUGGUCUGAGAGGAUGACCAGCCACACUGGGACUGAGACACGGCCCAGACUCCUACGGGAGCAGCAGUGGGAAUAUUGCGCAAUGGCGAAAGCCUGACGCAGCGACGCCGCGUGGGUGAUGAAGGCCUU